CAACUUUCAGCAACGGAUCUCUUG
rnacentral:rRNA from 25 species